AUGACAAAGGCAAACACUCUCCUUUGCUCCAUAGUUGAAAAAUGCGUAUUGGGCCUAGUACUUGGAGAAAUGGAAUUUGAAAUUCCUCCUGGAGAAAGCUCGGAAUUUGUUUCUUCCCAAGCAACAUCAGAAUCAUCUUCUGUAAGUUCCGGUCCCUCUCAUGCUAAUAGAAAAACUGGAGUAACUUCUACUGCCUCAGUGAGCAAGCCCAAAACCCCAUUAGUGGCGAGGAAGAAAGUAUUCCGAGCAUCGGUGGCUCUAACGCCAACGGCUCCUUCUAGAACAGGCUCUGUACAGACGCCUCCAGAUUUGGAAAGUUCUGAGGAAGUUGAUGCAGCUGGAGAAGCCCCAGAGGUUAGAGGACCUAAAUCUGAAGUGGAAGAAGGGCAUGGAAAACUCCCAGUAAUGCCAGCUGCUGAGGAAAUGCAUAAAAAUGUGGAGCAAGAUGCGUUGCAGCAAGUCAUACGGGAGAUUAGAGUCUAUCAUUGGGGAGAUGAGACGGGAACUUGUAAGUGGACUUUUGGCAGCGUUAUCUUCAAGUAAAACAUCUAAUUCUAAGCAAGAUAAUCAUUAAAUGGAAAUUAUAGGUUGGCAUGGAUCCUAUUAGCUGUGUAAUACUGGAGUUACCAAUGGUAGGCACUGGUGGAGGUGUUACUUGUGCUUUAGAAGAUACUUGCUGUUGAACUGGGUGACUGUAUACAGUGUACAAUGUGUAUUUCUUCAAGUGUAUCUUCUAAAAAAAAUACAUAGAAACUUAGACACUUUGCUAUUUCUUUUCUAAACUAUCAAAAACUGUAGCAGUUUGAAAAGCCUAAUAUUUAUUUGUAUGUCAAUAUUUUUCAUUUGAUUCCCUAUUAGAAUUAAUUAUAAAACUUGAAGACUUCCAGACUUAUCCAACUUAUAAAUAACGUAUUUCUUCAUACUGGCUUCUUAAAACACUGACUUCUAUGAGGUAUUUACUGUGCAAUAACUGAUUCAUUUUUUGAGAGCUUGAAGCAACCAAUUUCUCCCUCCACUGCUGUUACUUAAUGUCACUACCAAGAAGCAAAACUGUUCUGUUGUUAAAAAAUAAUUGCUCUUAAUUCUUGAAAAGUUACUAAUAGCAGUAGGAUAGAAUUAUAUGAGGUUACCUACAACUACUUAACGUUCUUACACUGUAAGCCUUCUUGCUUUACUCAAGACAAAUGUAAUUUUAUCAUUUCUUAUGUAGUAUUUUUCUUAUCGAAAUGUGCCUUAUGUUAAACGCUGUACUUUCAGUUUUUGCAUUGUCCAGACUUCUUUAUUAGAUGGAGAUGUUUCUUCUUCCGUCUUUUAGACUAAAUAGUAGAGUAUCAUCCAAAUAAUGGAGCCCAUGACUUGAAUGAAUAUAAAUGAAUAAGCUAGUGUUUGUUUUUUCAAAAUGGAAGUAAUUUAGAUUUGUUCUCUUCCAUACAUAAAAUGAUUUUAGUUGUUUAACCAGUGAAAGCUGUUUGUUUUAUGAAAAAAAAAAAAAGGAAAAUGUUUUCCUAUUUGGUUUUAUAUGUGUUAAAUAAAUGUGUAAAGUAACCACCAAAAAAAAAAAUU